UAACGGCGAGUGAAGCGGUAACAGCUCAAAUUUGAAAGCUAGCUCUUUUAGGGUUCGCAUUGUAAUUUGUAGAAGAUGCUUCGGGUGUGGCCCCGGUCUAAGUUCCUUGGAACAGGACGUCAUAGAGGGUGAGAAUCCCGUAUGUGACUGGGUGCUUUCGCUCAUGUGAAGCUCUUUCGACGAGUCGAGUUGUUUGGGAAUGCAGCUCAAAAUGGGUGGUAAAUUUCAUCUAAAGCUAAAUAUUGGCCAGAGACCGAUAGCGCACAAGUAGAGUGAUCGAAAGAUGAAAAGCACUUUGGAAAGAGAGUUAAACAGUACGUGAAAUUGUUGAAAGGGAAGCGCUUGCAACCAGACUUGCGCGCUGAUGAUCAUCCGGGCUUCUGCCCGGUGCACUCGUCUGCGCUCAGGCCAGCAUCGGUUUCGGUGGUGGGAUAAAGGCCUUGGGAAUGUAGCUUCUUUCGGGGAGUGUUAUAGCCCUCGGUGCAAUGCCGCCUACCGGGACCGAGGACCGCGCUUCGGCUAGGAUGCUGGCGUAAUGGUUGUAAGCGACCCGUCUUGAAACACGGACCAAGGAGUCUAACAUCUAUGCGAGUGUUUGGGUGUCAAACCCAUACGCGUAAUGAAAGUGAACGGAGGUGAGAACCCUUAAGGGUGCAUCAUCGACCGAUCCUGAUGUCUUCGGAUGGAUUUGAGUAAGAGCAUAGCUGUUGGGACCCGAAAGAUGGUGAACUAUGCGUGAAUAGGGUGAAGCCAGAGGAAACUCUGGUGGAGGCUCGCAGCGGUUCUGACGUGCAAAUCGAUCGUCAAAUUUGCGUAUAGG
rnacentral:rRNA from 1 species